UUUUUUUCGGAGGCUACUAAUGAGAAGGAAGAAAGAAAGCAUCAAGAAGUCCCAUUCCUUAGGAAAGGUGGAGAAGUUGUAGAAGCCAAGCUGAAACAGAGCUCUUGCUGCCACACCUAGAGGAGAAAUGGAAGCCAAACUUGCUCAUGUUCUGCUGCCACACCUUAAUGAUUUGGGAGAUGAUAGUUUGAGGAACCAUGUUGCUUUAUCUCAUCAUCUUU
rnacentral:misc_RNA from 1 species